AAACUGGAGAGUUUGAUCCUGGCUCAGAACUAACGCUAGCGGCGUGCCUAACACAUGCAAGUCGUACGAGAAAGUCGGCUUCGGUCGGCGAGUAAAGUGGCGCACGGGUGAGUAACGCGUGGAUAAUCUACCCUUGAGUUGGGAAUAACGUGCCGAAAGGUGCGCUAAUACCGAAUAAUACUGAGUGACUAAUGUUGCUUAGUCAAAGAAGGCCUCUGCUUGCAAGCUUUCGCUGAAGGAUGAGUCCGCGUACCAUUAGCUAGUUGGUAGGGUAAUGGCCUACCAAGGCAACGAUGGUUAGCUGGUCUGAGAGGAUGAUCAGCCACACUGGAACUGAGACACGGUCCAGACUCCUACGGGAGGCAGCAGUGAGGAAUAUUGCGCAAUGGGGGCAACCCUGACGCAGCAACGCCGCGU
rnacentral:rRNA from 1 species